CUUCACCGAACCCAGCCACAGCGGCUCGCCAUCCGCCCGCUCCUGGCCAUACGUCGCCAGCAGCGCCUGCGCCUC
rnacentral:antisense_RNA from 1 species